rnacentral:rRNA from 1 species
UACGUAGGGACCAAGCGUUGUCCGGAUUUAUUGGGCGUAAAGAGCUCGUAGGCGGCCCUCCACGUCGGAUGUGAAAGCUCAGGGCUCAACCCUGAGAUGCCAUUCGAUACGGGAAGGCUAGAGGUAGGUAGGGGAAAGUGGAAUUCCUGGUGUAGCGGUGAAAUGCGCAGAUAUCAGGAGGAACACCGGUGGCGAAGGCGGAUCUCUGGGCCAUUACUGACGCUGAGGAGCGAAAGCGUGGGGAGCGAACAGG